rnacentral:misc_RNA from 1 species
GUAUGGGUUUAUAGGCACAACAAAGGCCAUGGAUUGCAUUCUAUAAACAUACAUUGGGGUAUAUGAAGAACAUAGACCUGGAAAUGUAAGGAGAGACAUAAAGUCAAUCCUCAAACCUGAGUGGCUAGCAUCCAGAGAGAGAUCCAGGUCUACAAAAGAUGCACAUGUGGAGAUAUAAAGAUGACAGGUGUGCACAUGCUCCCGAGAGAGCCAGCAGCAACUUGUCAGAUUUAUUUCAAUAAUGAUCCUUCCGCAGGUUCACCUACGGAAA